rnacentral:lncRNA from 1 species
UACAAUAACAUUAGAGCCAAACCAGACUAUAAGUCUUAAGGUGAAUCUGAUGUACUUAUAUAAAAAAAUAUAUAAAGCCAACGAAGGAUUAAGUAUAAAACAUGAAAGACCAAAUACCAAAUUCAUUGAUUAGGGUCCAAUUUAUUCUCUGUGUACCCAGUUCUAAGAUUUUUUGGUUUUGGUCAUUUAUGUUGGUUGAUUGGUUAGUUGUUUUGAAGUGUGGUUUGUUUUGUCUUUAUUAUAGUCCUUAGUGCCUGGCUGUAAAUCAUCUGUUUGAAGCUUUGGAAUGUGAUGCGUUUCUUUCUAGGGGGACAGUGUGAUGUCACAACUAAGACCAUGGAUUUUAGAGACACACUGUCUAGGUUCAUAUCCUGCCUCUGCUGCUCAUUAACUACUCUCUAUGCCUCAGUUUUCCCAUCUGUUAAGCAAGGCUGGUCCUCAGCACAAUACGGAGAGGCUCAGAAGGGAAGUCGUAAGGGAUGA